rnacentral:sRNA from 1 species
GGCCUGCUGCGGCGAUACGAAGUGCACGUGGCCGUCGAUACCUGCGGCCGUAAGAAUCAUAUGCUCGCCGCUUAUCGCGUCGGUGGAUGGACCGGUGACAAGCGUGGGCGUAACGCCUUCCAUCACAUUGGGGUUGCCUGCCUUGCCGAUUCCGGCGAUUUUGCCAUCCUUGAUGCCUACGUCGGCCUUAACCACACCUAAGAGCGGGUCGAGGAUGGUAACGUUGGUGAUCACGAGGUCGAGGCUUCCCGCUUUCGAUGUGCAUUCGUUGGCCAACCCCAUGCCGUCGCG